UACGUAGGGACCGAGCGUUGUCCGGAAUCAUUGGGCGUAAAGAGCGUGUAGGUGGCUUGGAAAGUCUUACGUGAAAAGCCUGCGGCUCAACCGCAGAAAGUGCGUGGGGAAACUACCUCGCUAGAGUCCGGAAGAGGAGAGCGGAAUUCCCGGUGUAGAGGUGAAAUUCGUAGAUAUCGGGAGGAACACCGGUGGCGAAGGCGGCGUCUGGGUCGAUACUGACGUGAGGUGCGAAAGCGUGGGGGAGCAAAACAG
rnacentral:rRNA from 1 species